rnacentral:rRNA from 1 species
CAAUAGCGUAUAUUAAAGUUGUUGCAGUUAAAAAGCUCGUAGUUGGAUUUCUGGACGGAGCAGCCGGUCCGCCGCUGUGCGGUGUGUACUCGUGCUUGACUCGGUUCAUCCUUGUGGGGAAGCGCAUUUCGGCAUUCAGUUGUCGAGGCGGGGAACCACAUCAUUUACUGUGAAAAAAUUAGAGUGUUUAAAGCAGGCAUUUUGCUGUGAAUACAUUAGCAUGGAAUAAUAACAUAGGACUUUGAUUCUAUUUUGUUGGUUGGAGAUCAAGGUAAUGAUUAAUAGGGAUAGUUGGGGGUAUUCAUAUUUAAUUGUCAGAGGUGAAAUUCUUGGAUUUAUGAAAGAUGAACUCAUGCGAAAGCAUUUACCAAGGAUGUUUUCAUUA